AGUGAACGCUGGCGGUAGGCCUAACACAUGCAAGUCGAACGGCAGCACAGUAAGAGCUUGCUCUUACGGGUGGCGAGUGGCGGACGGGUGAGGAAUACAUCGGAAUCUACUUUUUCGUGGGGGAUAACGUAGGGAAACUUACGCUAAUACCGCAUACGACCUACGGGUGAAAGCAGGGGAUCUUCGGACCUUGCGCGAUUGAAUGAGCCGAUGUCGGAUUAGCUAGUUGGCGGGGUAAAGGCCCACCAAGGCGACGAUCCGUAGCUGGUCUGAGAGGAUGAUCAGCCACACUGGAACUGAGACACGGUCCAGACUCCGACGGGAGGCAGCAGUGGGGAAUAUUGGACAAUGGGGGCAAGCCUGAUCCAGCCAUACCGCGUGGGUGAAGAAGGCCUUCGGGUUGUAAAGCCCUUUUGUUGGGAAAGAAAAGCAGCAGGUUAAUACCCCGCUGUUCUGACGGUACCCAAAGAAUAAGCACCGGCUAACUUCGUG
rnacentral:rRNA from 1 species